AGUGAACGCUGGCGGUAGGCCUAACACAUGCAAGUCGAACGGCAGCACAGUAAGAGCUUGCUCUUACGGGUGGCGAGUGGCGGACGGGUGAGGAAUACAUCGGAAUCUACUUUUUCGUGGGGGAUAACGUAGGGAAACUUACGCUAAUACCGCAUACGACCUACGGGUGAAAGCAGGGGAUCUUCGGACCUUGCGCGAUUGAAUGAGCCGAUGUCGGAUUAGCUAGUUGGCGGGGUAAAGGCCCACCAAGGCGACGAUCCGUAGCUGGUCUGAGAGGAUGAUCAGCGACACUGGAACUGAGACACGGUCCAGACUCCUACGGGAGGCAGCAGUGGGGAAUAUUGGACAGAGGGCGCAAGCCUGAUCCAGCCAUACCGCGUGGGUGAAGAAGGCCUUCGGGUUGUAAAGCCCUUUUGUUGGGAAAGAAAAGCAGCAGGUUAAUACCCCGCUGUUCUGACGGUACCCAAAGAAUAAGCACCGGCUAACUUCGUG
rnacentral:rRNA from 1 species